CCGUGGCCUAAUGGUUAUAGCGCGUUGGACUCCGGAUCGAGUGGUCCGGGUUCGAGUUGUCCGGGUUCGAGU